rnacentral:rRNA from 1 species
CCCUUAGAUGUUCUGGGCCGCACGCGCGCUACACUGACGAUGGCAACGAGUUUUUCCUUCGCCGAAAGGUGUGGGUAAUCUUUUGAAACAUCGUCGUGCUGGGGAUAGAUCAUUGCAAUUUUUGAUCUUGAACGAGGAAUUCCUAGUAAGCGCGAGUCAUCAGCUCGCGUUGAUUACGUCCCUGCCCUUUGUACACACCGCCCGUCGCUACUACCGAUUGAAUGGUUUAGUGAGGACUCCUGAUUGGCGCCGCCGCCCCGGCAACGGAGCAGCGGACUGCCGAAAAGUUGUUCAAACUUGCUCAUUUAGAGGAAGUAAAAGUCGUAACA